UAGGACAGAUAGAGCACACUGUCCUGGGAGCCCUGCCUCCCCACCGUGGUCACAACUUGCAGCAAGGAACUAAUCUGGUUGACAUCUCUCACUUUAUGAGAGUUGUGGUGUGGUCCUUGGGCCGUGGCAUCAGCAUCACCUAGGAGUCUUCAGAAAUGCAGAAUCUUGGACCCCUCCCUAGAUCAACUGAAGUAGAGUCUACAUUUUAUCACGAUCCCAAGGUCAGGAGAAUAUGUUCUGGAGCUAGUACUGUCUGGGUUCACGUCCUGACUCUACCCUUGUCACUGAAUGGUGCAAUGCCAGUUAUUUCAACUCUCUGCCUCAGUUUCCUCACUUAUAGUAUGGAGAGGAUCAUAACUGCCCCUACCUC